rnacentral:rRNA from 8 species
CCCAGGUCAGGCGGGGCUACCCGCUGAAUUUAAGC